rnacentral:rRNA from 1 species
UACAGAGACUGCAAGCGUUAUUCGGAUUCACUGGGCGUAAAGGGUGCGCAGGCGGCCAUGUGUGUUAGGCGUGAAAGCCCGGGGCUCAACCCCGGAAUUGCACCUAAAACUACGUGGCUAGAGUACUGGAGAGGGUAGCGGAAUUCACGGUGUAGCAGUGAAAUGCGUAGAUAUCGUGAGGAACACCAAUGGCGAAGGCAGCUACCUGGACAGUAACUGACGCUCAGGCACGAAAGCGUGGGGAGCAAAAGGG